AGAUGGAACCUGGAAGAUACACCAGAAACUAAAGAAAAAGUUCUCAAAAGUGCGGAAGAGUGGUAUAGAGGCUGGCGACCAACUCUAAGCUCCACUUACAAGGCAUACAAAACAGAUGCAACUAGAUUGGCUUAUCUGCUGGAAGAUUUACAACCAGAAGAGUGGGAAUGGAUGAUUGAGUACUUUGGCACUGAUUCAAAAUUUCAGGUUAUCUGUAAGAUCACUCUUUGUCUACCACGUGUUAAGAUGAAAUUGCUUUUCUGUCAGGUUAUAUUUGGUUUCGAUUAA
rnacentral:rRNA from 1 species